CCCUACGCUUCCUAAAACCACAUUGGUGA
rnacentral:sRNA from 1 species